AUCAGUUCUUGGCCUUUUGGUUAAGAUAAAGUGUAGUGUCUGGUCUUAUCAAUUUAAUGUUUGAUAUACCCUCUAUCCAAGGACAAUAUAUUUGAUGAGAUAGAAAUGCUUACCUUUA
ensembl:snRNA U2 U2 spliceosomal RNA